rnacentral:lncRNA from 1 species
GCGCCGCGCCCUGCGGGAUGGCAUCGAUGGCACUGGUGGCACCUGGUGACAUCCGGUGUCACCUCCGCCAGCUGCCACGCCGCGCCCUGCGGGAUGGCAUCGAUGGCAUUGGUGGCACCUGGUGACAUCCGGUGUUACCCAGUGUCACCUCCGCCAGCUGCCGCGCCGCGCCCUGCGGGAUGGCAUCGAUGGCACUGGUGGCACCUGGUGUCACCCAGGAUCACCUCCGCCAGCUGUGCCCUACAGGAUCGAUGGCAUCAGUGGCAUCUGGUGACAUCCGGUGUCACCUCCGCCAGCUGCCGCGCCGCGCCCUGCGGGAUGGCAUUGGUGGCACCUGGUGACAUCCGGUGUCACCCAGUGUCACCUCCGCCAGCUGUCGCGCUGCGCCCUGUGGCAUCGAUGGCAUCAGUGGCACCUGGUGGCACCCGGUGUCACCUCUGCCAGCUGUGCCCUGCGGGAUCGAUGGCAUCGGUGGCACCUGGUGUCGCAGAACAUCACCCAACAUCACCUGGUGUCACCCAGCAUCUCCUGGUGCUACCCAAUGUCACCCAAGGUCACCUGAUGUCACCUGGCAUCGCUCAGUAUCACCUGGUGUCAUCCAAUGUCACCCAACGUCACACCAAUGGGGGCAGAGGGAGCAAAGGGACUUAAAAUAAGGCCAAAGGGACACAAAAAGGAAUUGAGGACACCGCAGGGACCAAAGGGACCUGAAAGGGGGCUGGGGACCCCCAGAGGGACUGGAAAAGGCACCACAGGGACCUGAAAUGGG